rnacentral:rRNA from 1 species
GACGAACGCUGGCGGCGUGCUUAACACAUGCAAGUCGAACGGAAAGGCCCUGCUUUUGUGGGGUGCUCGAGUGGCGAACGGGUGAGUAACACGUGAGUAACCUGCCCUUGACUUUGGGAUAACUUCAGGAAACUGGGGCUAAUACCGGAUAGGAGCUCCUGCUGCAUGGUGGGGGUUGGAAAGUUUCGGCGGUUGGGGAUGGACUCGCGGCUUAUCAGCUUGUUGGUGGGGUAGUGGCUUACCAAGGCUUUGACGGGUAGCCGGCCUGAGAGGGUGACCGGCACCAUGGGACUGGGGAUACGCCCCGGACUCUUACGGAGGGCAGAGGGGGGAAUUUUGGCACAUGGGGCGAAGGCCUGUUCCAGAAACGCCCCGUGCGGAAGACCGGCUUUCGGGUGUAAACCCCCUUCGCCUGUGACGAAGCGUGAGUGACGGUAAUGGGUAAAGAAGCACCGGCUAACUACGUG